GUACACGCUGUGACUAGCAUAUCAAUAAGCGGAGGAAAAGAAACUAACAAGGAUUCCCCUAGUAACGGCGAGUGAAGCGGGAAGAGCUCAAAUUUGAAAUCUUAAAGGGUUUCCCUUUACGAAUUGUAGUUUAAAGAAGUGUUUUCUGUUGAGGUUUUGGUAAAAGUUCUUUGGAAUAGGACAUCAUAGAGGGUGAGAAUCCCGUAUUUGACCUUUACUUUCAACUUUGUGAUACACUAUUCAAAGAGUCGGAUUGUUUGGGAAUGCAGUCCAAAAUGGGUGGUAAAUUUCAUCUAAAGCUAAAUAUUGGCGAGAGACCGAUAGCGAACAAGUACCGUGAGGGAAAGAUGAAAAGAACUUUGAAAAGAGAGUUAAACAGUACGUGAAAUUGUCAAAAGGGAAGCGUUUGACACCAGUGUUGUUUUUCUGAAAAUCAAUUAAAGAACUGUUUAUGCUAAGUUGUUUAGACUUUAUCAGCUAACUGUUUAGUUUUGAGCUUUUCUUUAAUGCACUUCUCAGUUAACAAGUCAACAUCAAUUUCUUUUGCUGUAAAAAAGCUUGAGGAAGGUGGCUUGAGAUUCGUCUUAAGUGUUUAUAGCCUCUUGCCUAUGCAGUCGGAGAGAUUGAGGUCUGCAGCGUAGAUCCUUCGGGGCUAAAUGCAUUUGUGCUAAGUUAUAACACUUUAUAGACAACUUGUUGACUAUGAUUUGUCUUGUAGCUUACUCGCUUAUGUUAUUUUACCUACGCUUAGGAUGUUGAAGUCAUCGUAUCGCGC
rnacentral:rRNA from 1 species